rnacentral:rRNA from 1 species
UACGUAGGGUGCAAGCGUUAAUCGGAAUUACUGGGCGUAAAGCGUGCGCAGGCGGUUUUGUAAGUUUGUCGUGAAAUCCCCGGGCUCAACCUGGGAAUGGCGAUGAAGACUGCAAGGCUAGAAUCUGGCAGAGGGGUGCGGAAUUCCGGGUGUAGCGGUGAAAUGUGUAGAGAUCCGGAGGAACACCAGUGGUGCAAACGGCGCCCUGGGUCCGAACUGACGCUGAAGCACGAAAGCGUGGGGAGCGAACGGG